AGAGUUUGAUCCUGGCUCAGGAUGAACGCUAGCGGCAGGCCUAAUACAUGCAAGUCGAACGGUGUCUUCGGACAUAGUGGCGCACGGGUGCGUAACACGUAUGCAACCUACCUUACAUUGGGGGAUAGCCUUUCGAAAGGGAGAUUAAUACCGCAUAAGACAGUAGCUGGGCAUCCAGCAGCUGUUAAAGAUUUAUCGAUGUAAGCUGGGCAUGCGUCCAAUUAGCUAGUUGGUGAGGUAACGGCUCACCAAGGCAAUGAUUGGUAGGGGAACUGAGAGGUCAAUCCCCCACACUGGCACUGAGAUACGGGCCAGACUCCUACGGGAGGCAGCAGUAGGGAAUAUUGGGCAAUGGACGCAAGUCUGACCCAGCCAUGCCGCGUGCAGGAUGAAGGCGUUAUGCGUUGUAAACUGCUUUUAUACAGGAAGAAACGACUCUUGCGAGAGGCAUUGACGGUACUGUAUGAAUAAGCACCGGCUAACUCCGUGCCAGCAGCCGCGGUAAUACGGAGGGUGCAAGCGUUGUCCGGAUUUAUUGGGUUUAAAGGGUGCGCAGGUGGUUUAUUAAGUCAGUGGUGAAAGACGGUCGCUCAACGAUUGCAGUGCCAUUGAAACUGGUAGACUUGAGUAAAGUAGAGGUGGGCGGAAUUGAUAGUGUAGCGGUGAAAUGCAUAGAUAUUAUCAAGAACUCCAAUUGCGUAGGCAGCUCACUUGGCUUUUACUGACACUCAUGCACGAAAGUGUGGGUAUCAAACAGGAUUAGAUACCCUGGUAGUCCACACUGUAAACGAUGAUAACUAGGUGUCGGCCGAAUCUGGUCGGUGCCACAGCGAAAGCGUUAAGUUAUCCACCUGGGGAGUACGCCGGCAACGGUGAAACUCAAAGGAAUUGACGGGGGUCCGCAC
rnacentral:rRNA from 1 species